UACAGAGGGUGCGAGCGUUGUCCGGAAUCACUAGGGCGUAAAGGGCGCGUGAGGUGGCGCGACAAGUCAGUCGGGUAGAAAGCUACGGGCGUGCUUAACGCCGAAGUCGGCCACUGAGUACUGGUCGGGCUGGAGCACUGUAGAGGCAGAUGGAAAUUCCGGGUGUAGCGGUGAAAUGCGCAGAUAUCAGGAAGAACACCCGUGGCUAAGGCGGACUCUCGUAGUACGGUACUGACGCUGAGACGCGAAAGCGUGGGGAGCGAACAGG
rnacentral:rRNA from 1 species